UACGUAGGGGGCAAGCGUUGUCCGGAUUUAUUGGGCGUAAAGAGCGUGUAGGCGGCCAGGUAGGUCUGCUGUGAAAACUCGAGGCUUAACCCCGAGCUGUCGGCGGAAACCAUCUGGCUAGAGUCCGGAAGAGGAGAAUGGAAUUCCCGGUGUAGCGGUGAAAUGCGCAGAUAUCGGGAAGAACACCCGUGGCGAAGGCGGUUCUCUGGGACGGUACUGACGCUGAGACGCGAAAGCGUGGGGAGCAAACGGG
rnacentral:rRNA from 1 species